AGAUCAUGAUCCUAACCAAAGAGAAGCUCAGAGCUGCGUGAAGCAUUAUGUUUCAAACAUGACACUGCUGGUUUAUAUGGUAUUAUCACACAAAUAUGAUAGUUAUUUUUUUUGCUACGAGUCAGAAGUAGGGGGUUAGCAUGCAUCGUAUCGCUUAUCGUGAUAAUAAUUUGGAUUCAUCGUUGUCAUGAUGAAUUCCAGUUAAUGUUUAAACUGAACUGAUCACGGAGUUGCAGAAAUAAAUGAACUUUUAAAUCAUUCUUUGAAUGAGUCGGUGUACUAAAAACUGGAAAUGGCCUGAAACUGGCAGUUUGAGGUUCGCAGCGAAAAACCUGCAUGCAGAAUAUAAAACAUUUUUUAUAUUUCUGUCCUGUGACUGAAAACGGUGAUACAAACGGAAGGAGGAGCUGAACAUAAACCUCUGCUCACUGUCCACCACACACCGACAGUAACCAGACCCUCCCACCUCUAGUGAAGUCAGAGCUCCAUCACUCUGAGUUCAGUCGGCUCACAACACAGUCAUGGUCCCAGCUGCUCUCAUAAAGCUCUCUGCAGCUCUGCUCUGGCUUGGAGGUCCAACAGACGGCAGUGAUGUCACUCAGACUCCUCUGCUGUGGGCCAACCAGAGUCAGUCUGCCACCAUCAACUGCAGUCAAAAUAAAGAUGUUAAUCAUAACCAGAUGUACUGGUACCAACAGCUGCCGGGUCAGAACAUGAAGCAAAUAGUUUUCACCACAUCGUACAGCGCUGCACAGUAUGAAGAAGGCUUCAGCAAGGAGAAGUUUGCAGUAGAGAAGAAAGACGCUUACACCGGGUCUCUGACAGUGAAGCAGCUGCAGCCUGAAGACGGCGGAGUGUAUUUCUGUUCUGUCAGUAAACACAGUGAUGCAGCCGAUUAAAGAGCUGCACAAAAACCCAGACAGUGAAAGAAAACUUCUCUGUUUGAACCUGUAGAUGGAGCUAAAGAGCAGAGUAGACUGGAUUUUAUACACACAUGUAUA